ACAGCACAAGGCAUGCUGUGGGCUCUAGCCCUACUUCUAGCUUUCUUGCCUGCUGGCAGACAAACAUCCUCCAACUUGGAAGAAAGAAUAACGUCAGUCACCAAGCUAGAGGGGUCCUCUGCUAUAAUGACUUGUGAUAUUCACGGAACAGGCACUUACAUCCACUGGUACCGAUUCCAGAAAGGGAGGGCCCCAGAGCACCUUCUCUACUAUAACUUUGUCAGUUCCACAACUGUGGUGGAUUCCAGAUUCAAUUCGGAGAAAUAUCAUGUUUAUGAAGGCCCGGACAAGAGGUAUAAAUUUGUGCUUCGGAAUGUGGAGGAGUCCGAUUCUGCUCUGUAUUACUGUGCCACCUGGGCUGGCACAAUGACUCAGCCCUGCCCUCAUCUGUACUGA